rfam:Gossypium raimondii Chr11_contig_1274, whole genome shotgun sequence.
UGUUAAAAAUUCUAUCUAUUUUUACUAUUAAAAAUUAGAGUGGUUGAUAGAAUAAUCAGACAAAUAUGCAUGGCCUACUACUUGUACCUUAUUUUAACGUAUGGAGACUAAUUUUUAACAGUAGAAAUAAAUAAAAAUUUUAAAA